CAGUAACUUAACAAAACCUGAUUAUAGAGUUUAGCUCUAGCUUAUCAAUUUACUGUUUGUAAAGGGAAUAUGUAAGUCUAUGCUUGAUACAAAGUACCUUUUGAUAGGGUACCUUAAAUACUAUAUUCUCAGUUUUAAGUAUUAACAUAUUAAUACAUAUUAUACUUAGUUAUACAAUAAAGGUCUAACUAAUAUUGUGCCAGCAGUUGCGGUUAUACAAUAAGCCCUAGUAAAUACUAAUUGGUUAUUAUAUUAUUAUGUAUAUAGUUUAUAUUAAUAGUAUUCUUAUUAGGUGGAAUUUUAAUUAUACUUAAAGUAUAGGGUACUAUAUUAUUAUAUAUGAAAUCUAUAUAAGUGACUAGGAUUAGAUACCCUAUUAAUAUAGAUGUUAACCUUAACCUUAUUAUUAAUAGUUGAGUUCUUUAAAGUAAAAGAGUUUGGCGGUGAUUUAAUCUUUCCAGAGGAACCUGUCCUUUAAUUGAUAAUCCACGUUAGAUGUUACUUUGGUUAUAUAUGCUUGUAUACCUCUGUCAUUGAAUGUUCUAUUAGGAUACUUUCUUAUUACUUUAAUGAGUAAAAUGUUAGGUCAAGGUGCAGCAAUACUUAAGUAGAGAUGGGUUACAAUCUGUAAUACAGAUAGAUUAGCUAAUGGAAUAUAUUAGCUAUGAAACUGGAUUUGGUAGUAAUUAUUAGUAAUUACUAAUAGUGAUUUAGGCUCUAGAUCAUGUACAUAUCGCCCGUCACUCUCAUUUAUAAAUGAGAUAAGUCGUAACAAAGUAGGUUUACUGGAAAGUGUACCUAGAAAGGGU
rnacentral:ncRNA from 1 species